AUGAAUAAAUAAUUGACACGAAACAGUCUUGCUAUGAUAUUGUAAACAUGGCAGGCCCUUGUCGUCUGUAUGUUAGUACAUAUUCCUUUCUACUGGCGAUCACCAUAGAAUCAUCUUGUGGCCUUCAAACCUGUUCUAUUAACAAUAUUAAUUCGUCAAGAUGUUGUAUUGGUUAUCGAGAGAUAGAGGGGAUGUGCACAGAAUGCAUUGGAUUUUAUGGAGAGGAAUGUAGUCUACCCUGUCCAGGAGGUUUUUAUGGACGUCAAUGUAAAACGCUCUGCAACUGUUCCUCAAACGAGACUUGUAAUCAGUUUGUUGGCUGUAGAUCAAACUCCACGUGUGGUAAGAUUAAAAUAUGUUAUUAACCGAUUAAUUUUGUAUAAUCCUAUUGAUUAUUGA